rnacentral:rRNA from 1 species
UACGUAGGGACCAAGCGUUGUUCGGAUUUACUGGGCGUAAAGGGCGCGUAGGCGGCAAUUCAAGUCAUCUGUGAAAUCUCCGGGCUUAACUCGGAACGGUCAGAUGAUACUGCUUUGCUAGAGUGCAGAAGGGGCAAUCGGAAUUCUUGGUGUAGCGGUGAAAUGCGUAGAUAUCAAGAGGAACACCUGAGGUGAAGACGGGUUGCUGGGCUGACACUGACGCUGAGGCGCGAAAGCGUGGGGAGCGAACAGG